UUUUUUGAUUCUUUUAUUUCUGUGGUAUCAAUUUAACAUCUCUUUCAUUGCUGAUUUCAUUUAUUUGAGUCUUCUUUUUUUCUUGGUGAGUCUAGCAAAAGGCUUGUCAAUUUUGUGUAUUUGUUCAAAGAACCAGCUCUUAGUUAACAUUGAUCUUCUCUAUUGUCUUUUUAGCCUCUCUUUCAUUUAUUUGUACUCUAAUCCUUAUUUCCUUCCUUCUACUAACUUUGAGUUUUGUUUGUUCUUCUUUUUCUGUUUCUUUGAGGUAUAAAGUUGGGUUGUUUAUUUGAGAUUUUCUUCUUUCUUGAGGUAGGCAUUUGUUACUACUAACUACCCUCUUAGAACUGCUUUUGCUGCUUCCUACAAAUUUUGGUAUAGUUCCAUUUUCAUUUGUUUUAAGGCAUAUUUUAUUUUUCCUUUAAUUUCUUCUUUGGCCCAUUGGUUGUUCAGUAUCAUGUUGUGUAAUAUCCACAUAUUUGUAAAUUUUCCAGUUUUCUUUGUGUAGUUAAUUUUUAGUUUUAUACCAUUGUGGUUGGAAAAGAUGCUUGAUAUGAUUUCAGUCCUCUUAAAUUUAUUAAGGCUGCUUUGUGGCCUGACAGGUGAUCUAUCCUGGAAAAAUAUUCCAUGUGCACUUGAGAAGAAUGUGUGUUCUGUUGCUUUUAAGAUGGGAGGUUCUAUAUAUAUCUAUUAAGUCCAUGUUGUCUAAUGUGUCAUUUAAGACUGGUGUUUCCUUGUUGAUUUUCUCUCUGGAUGAUCUGUCCGUUUAUGUAAAUGGAGCACUGAAGUCCCCUACUAUUACUGUAUUGCUGUUUCUCCCUUUAGGUCUGUUAAUAUUUGCUUUGUAUAUUUAGGUUCUUCUGUGUUGGUUACAUAAAUAUUUAUAAAUGUUAUAUGCUCUUGUUGGAUUGACCCUUUAUCGUAAUGUAAUGCCCAUCCUUGUCUCUUACUCCACAUCUUGUUUUAUAGUCUAUCUUUUCUAAUAUAAAUAUAGUUAGUCGAGCUUUCUUUUGACUUACAUUUGUGUGGAAUAUCUUUUUCCAUCCGUCACUCUCCCUCUGUGUGUGUUCCUGCCUCUGAAGUGGAGUCUGCUAUAGGCAGUAUAUAGAGAGUUCCUGUUUGUUUAUUAAUCCAUUCAACAUUUUUAGGUCUUUUGAUAGAAGAAUUCAGUUCAUUUACAUUUAAAGUAAUUGUUGAGGGGCACCUGGGUGGCUCAGUCGGUUAAGCAUUGAUUUCGGCUUAGGUCAUGAUCUCAUCUGAUUUUGGCUCAGGUCAUGGUCUUUACCAUUCCCGAGUUCGAGCCCUAUGUCGGGUUCUGUGCUGACAACUCAGAGCCUGGAGCCUGCUUCAGAUUCUGUGUGUCUCUCUCUGUCUCUGCCCCUCUCCUGCUCAUGCUCUGUCUCUUUCUGUCAAAAAUAAAUAAACAUUAAAAAAAAAUAAAAAACAUUAAAAAAUUUUAAAGUAUUCAUUGGUAGGUAUGCACUUAUUGCCAUUUUGUUAAUUGUUUUCUGGCUGUUUUGUUAUUGUUGUUCCUCUUUAUUUUUCUUGUUAUUUUCCUUUAUUGUUUAAUGGCUUUCUUUAAUGGCAUGCUUAUAUUCCUUUUUGUUUAUCUUUUGUGUAUGUACUAUUUUAGGUUUUGGCUUUGUGGUUAGAAAUAUGCAAAUUGUAUAUAAAAGCUAAUACCAAAAUCUAUAAAGAACUCAUACCACUCAAUAACAAAAAAAGCUGGCUAAAAAAUGGGCAGAUCUGAAUAAAUAUUUUCCAGAGAAGAUCUAUAGAUGGCCAACAGGUACAUUAAAAGAUGCUCAACAUCAUUAAUCGUCAGGUAAAUGCAAACCAAACUACAAUGAGAUAUCACCUCACACCUGUGAGAAUGGCUUUUAUCAAAAUGACAAGAAAUAACAAGUAUUGCUGAGGAUGUGGAGAACAGGGACCCUUGUGUACUGUUGGUAAGAAUGUAUAUUGGUAUAGCUGCUAUGGAAAACAAUAUGGGGCUUCCUUAAAACAUUAAAAAUAGGGGCGCCUGGGUGGCUCAGUCGGUUAAACGGCCGACUUCGGCUCAGAUCAUGAUCUCGCGGUCCGUGAGUUCGAGCCCCACCUCGGGCUCUGUGCUGACAGUUCAGAGCCUGGAGCCUGUUUCAGAUUCUGUGUCUCCCUCUUUCUCUGACCCUCCCCCAUUCAUGCUCUGUCUCAAAAAUAAAUAAAUGCUAAAAAAAAAAAACAUUAAAAAUAGAAUCACCAUGUGAUCCAGAAAUUCUACUUGUGAAUAUUUAUCCAAAGGAAAUGAAAACACUAACUUGAAAAGAUAUCUGUACCCUCAUGUUCAUUGCAGCAUUAUAUACAAUAGCCAAGACAUAUAAGCAUCCUAAGUGCCUGUCACUGGAUGAAUGGGUAAAGAAAAUGCUAAGUGAAAUAAGUCAGAGAAGGACAAACACUGUAUGAUCUCUCUUAUAUGUGAAAUCUAAAAACAAACAAACUCUUAGAUACAGAGAACAGAUUGAUGGUUGUCAGAGCCAAGUGGUAGGAAAAAUGGGUGAAGGAGGUCAAAAUAUAAUUUGAAUUAAAAUAUAAGGAAAUUUUAUAGGCUAUUAUAAAGGACUACAUAGAAAAAGUAGAAUAAGGUAAGAGGGAUCAGGAAUGUUUUGUGGGGAAGGUGCAACUUUAAAUAUAUUUCUACUGCGAAUAUGACUUUUGAGCCAAGAUGUGAAAGACAAAGGAAUUUAGCCAUGCGGAUAAUGGGGGAAGAGGGAAAAUAUAGAGAGUGGACAGCCAAUACAAAGGUCCUAAUGCAGAAGUGAUGUGCUUGGUGCAUUUCAGAAACUGGCUGGAGUACAGUAAGCAAAGGGAGAACAGAGGGAUCACAGAGCAGUUAUUUGGGCCAUUUUAAGGACUUUGACUUUUACUCUGAGUGAAUGAGGAGGAGGCAUUGUAUGGUUUUGAGAAGUGACACAACUAGACUUUUUUUAAUUUAAUUUUAUUUUUUUAAGAAUCACUCUAGCUGUUGCGUUGAAAAUAGACUGGGGGCAGGAAUGAAGGGUGGAAGCAAGGAGACCAGCUAGAAGGCUAACUGCAGUAAUCUACAUAUAAAGAAAGCAACCCAGAUAUUAAAUUUUAUCACUUCUCCAUCUAUCCAUAGCCCUUUAACUGACUUCAUUAUAAAGUCCAAACUUCUCAGUAUGGUGAAGAGUGGAAGCUUCCUGAUUUGGUCCCUUCUUCUUACUCAUAUUUACAUCUUACUACUACUAUCUACUCUAGUAUAUCUUACUGCUGUCUACUAUUACUUACUACUACCACAUCUACGCUCAAGAAUCUCCUCCAGAAAACCAUCCUUAACCCUUUUUUUUUCGCAUCUGGGCUAGGCCCCUCUGUGUGUAUAGUAUUUAUCACACUGUGUGGUAAUUACUUCUUUGCUUAUUGACCCAGACUUUACAGAGCCAGACCUAUACACAGUAAAAAAAUAAUAAUUUUUAAAAACACAACUUCAGUACGCACUGAAAUAAAAAGAAAAAAAAUAAAUAGUUAUUUCAUGAAGAAACAGAUAUCACAUUAAAAAAAUAAUACAAUAUGUCAUGGCCCAAGUGGGCUAUAUUCUAGAAAUACAAGGGCAUGUCAAUAAAAUCCAUUAGUAAAAUUCAUUAAAAUCGCUUCUCAGCCUUUUGGCUAAAAUCAAGUGUAGUAAAAUUCAUUAGAGAUACAGAUAAAAAAAUCAUACAAUUAUCUUGAUAAUUCACACUACUUAUUACACAGUCAUUUAAAAACCACCUGGUAGGUCAUGAUCUCGUGGUCCGUGAGUUCAAGCCUCGCGUCAGGCUCUGGGCUGAUGGCUUGGAGCCUGGAGCCUGUUUCCGAUUCUGUGUCUCCCUCUCUCUCUGCCCCCUCCCCCGUUCAUGCUCUGUCUCUCUCUGUCCCAAAAAUAAAUAAAAAACGUUGAAAAAAAUAAAAAAUAAUAAUAAAAAAAAAUAAAAACCACCUGGUAAAAUAAGAAUUAAUGGGUGCCUCCUUCCUUAACGUGAUUUUAUAUAUCUCACCAAAAAUCCCUAACUUCCGUAGAAGUCAGAUUCACUAGAAGUCUUUCUGUUACAUUCAGGAGUAAUAAAAUGGUCAAUAUCUACUCUAUUAUGUAAUAUUAUAUUGUAGGUAUUAGCCAAUCAGUUUGGCAAGACAAAACAAUCAGAGGCAUAGAAAUUGGAAAAGAAAGGAGUAAAACUAUUUGUUUUUUGAUGAGUAUAUUCCACAGGAAUGUAUAGAAACAUUGAUACAGUGAAACAUUUUUGUAAAUUCAAUAGCCUUGUAUAUGCAAAAUCAAAAACCAAUUAGGAUAUAUGUUGGAAGAGAAGAUCUCAUUUACAGUAGCAAAAGAGAAAAUGCCUCAGGGUAAGUGGAUAAAAAAAAUGUGCAAAAUAUAUAUGAGGAAAACUAUAAAACAUCUUUGAAAGUCCCCCAAAUAAACAUUUGGAAAGACAUACCAUGUUCUUGGAUAGAAAAACUCAGCACAAAGAUUUAAUUCUUCUUGAGCUAGUUUAUAUAUCUAACCAAAUUUCAAUAAAAAUGCCAUUAAUUAUUUUUCCUGGGGUGGCACAAGUUGAUUAUAUAGUUUAUUUGGAAGGUUAAAGAGCAAGCAAAAAUCAUGAGGAACACCCUGGUAAAAUAGCACUGGGAAUCUCUCUAUACUAUAUUAUGGUAGAGAGUAGGAGAAUAGACAUUGUGAGGUAUACUGUUGACCCUCAUAGGUAAAACAAACUGCUUUUAUAGUUCCUUACAGAUUGGUAUUGAGAAAAAGACAUUAGCCUCGUCAGUGGUUACGUAACAGAUACCAGAGGUUGUGUCAGUUUUCUCUAGUAAUAAUCUAGAACAGUAGCUGCAAUUGGAAGCACCACCUGAUUAAGCUUACAGUAGUCUAGUCACUCUCCAAGAUCCACCUGACAUCUGCACAGGCCAAACUAGUGAAUUAAAUGGGAAUGUGAUAGGUAUCACUCUUGUUGCUUCUUUCUAAUUUUGAUUGUAACAAUAAUCUCUGCAGUACCCCCAAGGAUACAAUAUUGCUUCUGCUGUUAAUAUCUUGUUAUACAGAGAAGUUCCAGGAGCUUCUUCCUAUCCUUUUUUACUAUAAUGACCCUUAGCACAUGGGUAAGAGAGUGGCUGUAGAGGUUCUUCCAGAUGUCAGGUAUGUUUAAUGAUUCUAGGUAUGCAUUCACCAAUGGAGAAUUAACUACAGGGUGAGUGUGUGGACUAACAGGGUGCACUGUGAAUCAAACUUGUGCUAAGACUUCACCUAUCACUUGGCCUCUUUAAGUCCUGACUUUGACUCAUGGGCCAUAGUGGUGCUUUAUGUCCUCAAGAAUUAGCAUUCAUUCCCCUGGAGUUAGUGUAUAGUAAGCUCUGAAAGGGCUGUAUAUUUAUUUUUCUCCAUGGCACGGUUACUCUAUUAAAAAGGAGCAGGCGCCUCUGGGGAUGAUUUGGUAGAACAUUUAUAGUUGCAGCAAUACUACAAGGUCUUUCCUUAGAAGUACGCAGCUUCCCUUUCAUCAAGGGCCUGUGGAUUUGAGGAAUGACUUAGAUCUGAAAAUUGGGUGAGAGGACAGCAGCAGGCCCCCAGUAGACUGCAGGAAGCAGGCAGGUGGUGAAAAGUUUGCGGUAGAAUGGUGGAAAACCAGAGCCAGUUUCUGCCGAAAGCUACUCUGGUGAUGAAGAAAUUUGCCAGAGAAUGUCAGUAAGCCAGAGCUGGUUUGCUCAGGCCUCUGAGGUGAGGGCCACUUGGCCUCCUACACAGUAUUCAACUGACAGUUGCAUCAAUGAAGAAAAGCAUACCAGAAUGUAUGCAAUGACCUUGUAGUGUCCCUUCACUGUUCUAUAUUGAUAAAGCCUGGCAUUGUACCAGCUGGCCAGAGAGAAGUGUUAUAGGGUCCCGAUCUGGAAUCCGAAAGCAAAGCAAGAAAAGUGGAUUUAGAGCUAAGAAGUAGUAAAUCAAUUACAGUUGAUAACUGGCACUGUUAUAUUUAGAGGAUAUAAGGAAACCAAGUCAUUGUUUUGAAAGCUGUUAAGGGAAAGAAUCAAGUCUUUUCUUCUGACUUUACUAUAUAAAAUUUACCUCAGGUAAGCAAAUAGUCAGUAAGGCUGGGUUUUUCUUUAUCAAAGUUUUUUCAGCCAAGUGAUGAAGAAGGAAUGAUAGACUAUCAUCAUUUUGUGAAACAUUAACGUAUUUAGGUCAUCAUUGUUCAAAAGAAAUAUAAUGUGGGUAUACAUGUAAUUAAAAAUUUUCUAAUCACUACAGUUAAAAAGUGGAAGCAGAUGAAUUUAAUUUCUGUAGCAUAUUUUAUAUAACAGUAUUUCUAAAAUACUGCCAUUUCAACAUGUAAUCAAUAAAAAUAUUAACAAGAUAGUUUAUAGUCCCUUUUUUUGUGCUAAGGCUUUAAAAUUUGGUGUGUAUUUUAUACUUACAGCUUAUGUCUGUUUCAGUUAGCCCCAUUCCAUGUGCUCAAUAGUCAUACUUGGCUAGUGGCUACCAUGCUGGAUAGUUUAGAUGUAGGCAGUGAUCAUCAGUGGCAGUAACAUCACAUUAAGAGAGGUAACCAGACAUUAUGCAUCUUCUGAUACAUACCUAUGAAGUAGUUAUACCAAAAUAGACAUACAUGAAUCUCUUUCAGAUUUAACCACCUGUUUUCAAGAAGUACAGUGGAAUAAAGUAGUAUGUAAAAUAACAUUGUGGUGAUACAGAAAGCAAAAUCCAGACUAUAGGAUACUCUACACAAUAAAUGACUUGGUUUCUUUGAAAAAUAAAAUGCAAAGUCAGGGGAGACAGAACCAAAAGAGCUGUCACUGAUUUAUUAACUCAUUGAAAUAUAAGGAUAUUCUUAAAAAACAAACAAACAAACAAACA